CAGUAGCCGCGGUAAUACGUAGGGUGCGAGCGUUAAUCGGAAUUACUGGGCGUAAAGCGGGCGCAGACGGUUACUUAAGCAGGAUGUGAAAUCCCCGGGCUCAACCUGGGAAUUGCGUUCUGAACUGGGCGGCUAGAGUGUGUCAGAGGGGGGUAGAAUUCCACGUGUAGCAGUGAAAUGCGUAGAGAUGUGGAGGAAUACCGAUGGCGAAGGCAGCCCCCUGGGAUAGCACUGACGUUCAUGCCCGAAAGCGUGGGUAGCAAACAGGAUUAGAUACCCCCGUAGUCCCUGUCUCUUAUAC
rnacentral:rRNA from 1 species